UACGUAGGGUGCGAGCGUUGUCCGGAAUUAUUGGGCGUAAAGAGCUUGUAGGCGGUUUGUCGCGUCUGCUGUGAAAAUCCGGGGCUCAACCCCGGACUUGCAGUGGGUACGGGCAGGCUAGAGUGUGGUAGGGGAGACUGGAAUUCCUGGUGUAGCGGUGGAAUGCGCAGAUAUCAGGAGGAACACCGAUGGCGAAGGCAGGUCUCUGGGCCACUACUGACGCUGAGAAGUGAAAGCAUGGGGAGCGAACAGG
rnacentral:rRNA from 1 species